GGGCUGCGCAGUCCCCGAGGUCUCCGGGUCACAGGCGGAUGCAGAUCCAGUAGGUGCGGGUGGGCCCGCUCGUACUUGGCGUGUCAAGGAAUCAGAGGCCCCCACUUGCAGCGCGGAGGAGGUAGAAGGAAAGGCAGCUCCGCCCAGGAGAGACAUCCCCUAAAGCGUCUCGCCGCGCAGCGUUAUUACUGGUCAGUCAAGGAUCAUGAACAAUUUGGUGAAAGAGCAACU